CUUUGCAGAAGGAAAGGAAGAGGGUUUUGCAUUGCAAGAGUGAAGAGUGAGUGAGUGAGUGUCAAGAGUGAAGAGUGAAGCGUGAAGGAAGAGUGAAGAUCAUCGCCGGCCGCAACAACCAGAGCGUUUCUUUCUCUCUAUUUUCCUUUCUCUUCUUCUUCUUCUUCUUCUUCUUCUUCUUCUUCUUCUUCUACGGUAACAUUAACGGUAACGUUAACUUGAGAGAGAGGGUUUCGAAUCAAACAGAGAGAGAGAGAGAGGGUUUCGCCUCAAACAGAGUGGGUUUCUUUUCUUUGCUUCAAGAAUGCAAAGAAAUUGAUCAAGAAUCGUUCAAUUGGAAGAAUAAUGGAUGUGAUCAAGAUGCAGCAGAAAUUGCUGCUUAUGAAGUUGAGGAAAUAGGAGUUGAACACUUGCUUAGAGAUGUGAAGGAUACAAUCAUUAGCACCCUCGCAACAGAGGUGGGUUUGGGUUAAAGAAUUGGGAAGAAUUUCGUAGAAAUUUGGAAAAGAAGUUGUGAGCAUUUAUGUUUUUUCUGGGGUAUUAAGGUGAAUUUUGGUCCUAGAAUUUGGGAGAAAGUGAGAGAAAUUUAGACCAAAUCAGGAAAGACGACACUCUAGAAGCAAAACAAGCUCAACAACACACUAUCUUAGAUGACAUGAUAGCUUCCCAACAAGAAUGCCAUCGGCAUCCAUUAUGCGAGAUAUGCACCACUGGCACCUUUUUCAGGGCUAUUAUCCACCACCUAGUUGAUUUUGUGAGUUCUUUCCUUUUUCUCCUUGUUAACUUCACUUUUACAUUGGGAUCAUUUAACGUUUAAGCAUGAGGAGAUUGAUUUGCAUUAUCAUUUUUUAUUGCCAGUGUUACUUGUUAGCAUGCGCAUAUUAUUUCAUUUUGUUUGCAUUAUAGCAUGUCAGACUCAUCAUAUCCUUUCCCAGGUUUUAUCUAUCUUAUUUCACUUUCUUUAUUAAAUUUUAAUGUUGAUACUUUACCCAAUUUGUUUGUUUAAUUAACUUAAGUACAUAUAAACUUGUUUUAAAACAUUUUUUUAGAAUUGAAAUACAAAUUUUAAACCACAAUAUAAGCUUUGGAUAGCAGUAGCACAACAUAUAAUGGUCCAGUUGUGUGAUGGGGUUGUGGAUUAAGAUCAGUUAGUGGAGCCAAUGCCCAAGGUGUGGAGGACCCAAGGUUUGGAGGGUAUAUGUGAGAAAGAGAAAGUACAAUGCGGAAAAGAGGGAUUGAAUGCAUGAGUAAGUUAGGAGGGCAGGUUAUGAGUAUGGGGGGAUCAUAGUGGAGAAUCAUACUGGUUAUACACGAUUAGAGAGAGAAUUCCAAUAGGAAUUGGAACCUCUGUAGAAGCCAUAUGCUCUGGUUGGUUUCUAUUUUCUGUUUUGGUUGUUAUAGUGAGUCUUACCUAAAUUUUCUUUCUCAAGAUUCCAUAGAUGUCCUAUUGAGAAUUUAUGUGUGCGCAUCUUGCAUACUAUUUCCGUAGUAUUUUAAAUCUUUUUCGUAUUGUUAUCAUUCAUGCCUGUUGAUUUAGUAUGCAACAAUGCAUUUUAGUUGCUUUAGUUCACAUGAUUUGUCUAUUUUAUGUUGUGUUUGAGGUGAAAUUUUGUCCUUUAAUUGGAAGUAUUGAAAAAGAUUGUUAGAAUAGAUUGCCAAUAGGGGUUUUGGGAGCAAGCGAGCGAAAUUUAAACCAGAUCAAUGGGAGAAUCAUUAAGGUAGUUUAUAUACGGUUAGAGCGAGAAUUUCAAUAGUCUUUGGAACCUCUGUAGAAGCCAUAGGCACUGGUUGAUUUCUAUUUGUUGUUUUGCUUGUCAUAGUGAAUAAAUAUUUUCUUUUUUCUAGAUUCCAUAGAUUUCUUAUUGAAAAUUGAUGAGUAUGUAUGUUGUUGCAUACUAUUUUUAUAGUAUUUUGCCUAUUUUCUUUAGUUGUAUCAUUCCUGCUAAUUCCAACAUGCAUAUUGCUUGUUUUAGUUCAAAUGAUUUGGUUUUUUUUUCUUGUUGUGUGUGUAGGUGAGUUUUGGUCCUAAACUUGGGAAGAAUUGAAGAAAUUUGUUAGAAAAGAUUUUCGGUAGCUUUUGGAAUCAAAUGACAGAUUCAGAAAUGGAUAGACAGAGUCAAGGCUAUUUUCAUCCUGAACCCCUGUAUCCUUCUGAGGGCCGGCUUAUAGUGUCCUCUAACGCUGGUCACCUAAAAAUUGUUUUGCGUCUUCUUAUUAUUUUUCUGCUUGUCGGUUUUCUUUUUGAGGUGAAUUUUGGUCCUAUAAUUUGGGAUAAUUGAAGAAUGGCGAUGACAGAUUCACCGCCUAGUUGAUUUUACGGACUUUCAAUAGCUUGCCCUUUGACUUGGGUCAGCAAGGCUUUAGGGCUAAUCAACACAAAUGUGCACAUCAUCAUUAAGUGCUUCCUCCACACGCUACCAGACGGAUGGCACCAAAUUGCUGGCUGAGCCAGUGCUUCUUCUCCUACACGCAGGAGCAGCUCCACCUCGUGCCGGAGCAGAGCUCUAAGAGUAACCAGCUCCAAAUUGCAAGUUGUGUUGUUUUCAGGACAUGGGCUGCAUGGUGUCCUCUCCAAAGGAUUCUGGUGGAAACAGAAAGAAGCUCGGGAGUAUUUGAGAAGAUUCUGCCUAUGUUCCUGGUCUAAGAAUUCCUAAACCUGUUGAUUUUGCAGUCACAGGAUCGGUUGUGAUCUUACGACUACAUUUUGAAAAGUACUGAGUAAUUGAUCAAUUUCUAGGGGUUUGCCAAAUAGCUCCACUGAAUUGUAGCUAUACCAGGCACAUGUGAUCGAUGUCUUGAAGUACUUUUGACCAAUUCGGGAAGGCGACAAAGUCACACCUAACCGAUCUCUUAUGUUCUCUCAAAUUUUAGUCAUAUUUUUCAUUUUAUCCCCCCCUCACUCGCUCUCUCUCUCCUUUAUUUUUGAUUCUUGAUGUACUUUUCUUGCAGGUUGUCAACAAUGGAGAUUUAAUGCUGUUUUUCUAAUUUGAAAGCGCACCAGAUUGAAUUCUUGAAGCAUCACGACAAGUUUGAGCAACUACAAGGUAUAGCUACAAUUCAAUUGCAAUUAGCCUUUCCACGCCAGAGUUAGAGGCGCACUUGAUCGAAUUCUUGAAGUUCUUUGAUCAGUUCGUGAAGACAACGAAGCUUUAUGCAGUUCUUCUUUCCUCAAUAGAUCCAAUUUGCAAAGGACGAUGCAAUCAGCCUUUUCAGAAUAACGCUCCACUGAAUUGUAGCUAUUCGAGGCACAUGUUAUCGAUUUCUAGAAGUACUUUUGACCAAUUAGGGAAAGCGACAAAGGCGCCCCUCAUCGAUCUCAGAUGUUCUCUCAAAUGUUGUCAACAAUGGCGAUUUAAUGAUCUUUUUCUAAUUUGAAAGCACACCAGAUUCAAUUCUUGAAGCAUCACGACAAGUUUGAGCUACUACAAGGGGUAUGGAUGGUGUAGAUUCCCUCGCAAACGAGACAACCAAGCGGGUGGAGGAAAACCACGAUGGUGUCUGAAAUCUUUCAUGCGUCUCCUUCCUCUAACUGAAAUAAAAUAAAACGAAAGAGAACUUGCUGGUGUACGUCUUGGAGCAAUGAUCCUAUUUUCGAGCGACAAAGCAAUUAUCUUUUCCACGGUAAGUGUCUUUCUUGUAUAUUGGUGUUGUUAUCCUAAUUGUUGAUUUUUUUAAAACUAGAACUCGAGGGGCACUGAAACAACAACGGGCCAAGGCAUUUUAUCGUGUUUAGCCAAAGUUGGAGGCGCACUUGAUCGAAUUUUUGAAGUUCUUUGACCUGUUCGUGAAGGCAACGAAGCUUUAUGGAGUUCUCAUUUCCUCAAUGGAUCCCAUUUUCAAAGGACGAUGCAAUCAGCCUUUUCAGGAAAACGGUUUUGCGUAAACGCAUUGGUUAAUUUGUCCCAUAUUGCAUUAUUCGAGUAAUUAUAGAAUCAUGCAUGUAUCUUGUGUACCCGGGCACAAAACACAUGCUAGGUGCUAUAAUUAACUAAGGUUACUUUAGAGUCCAUUCUAGUUAUUGUGUUCAGUUCUUGUCUUGUUAUUUUUUUGACUGCGUUCAGAAGCCCUUAUGGAAAUGUUUUCUAUAUGUUUUCAGGUCCACUGAAUUUUAGCUAUUCAAGGCAAAUGUGAUCGAUUUAUUGAAGUACUUUUGACCAAUUCGGGAAAGCGACAAAGGCGCACCUCGCCGAUCUUUUAUGUUCUCUCAAAUUUUAGUCACUUAGUCACAUUUUUCGUUUUAUCCCCCCCCCCCACCCCUCACUCGCUCUCUUCUCUCUUCUUCUUUUUUGAUUCUUGAUGUGCUUUUCUUGCAGGUUUUCAACAAUGGCGAUUUAAUGAUCUUUUUCUAAUUUGAAAGGAAACCAGAUUAAAUUCUUGAAGCAUCAGGACAAGUUUGAGCAACUACAAGGGUAAACCUCACUGCUCUUAGGGGUAUGGAUGGUGUAGAUUCCCUCUCGAACGAGACAACCAAGCGGGUGGAGGAAAACCACGAUGGUGUCUGAAAUCUUUCAUGCUGCUCCUUCCAAUAACUGGAAUAAAAUAAAACGAAAGAGAACUUGCUGGUGUACGUCUUGGAGCAAUGAUCCUAUUUUAGAGCAAUAUAGCAAUUAGCCUUUCCAGGCCAGAGUUAGAGGCGUACUUGAUCGAAUUCUUGAAGUUCUUUGAUCAGUUCGUGAAGACAACGAAGCUUUAUGCAGUUCUUCUUUCCUCAAUAGAUCCAAUUUGCAAAGGACGAUGUCCACUGAAUUGUAGCUAUUCGAGGCACAUGUGAUCGAUUUAUUGAAGUACUUUUGACCAAUUCUGGAAAGCGACAAAGGCGCACCUCGCCGAUCUCUUAUGUUCUCUCAAAUGUUUUCAACAAUGGCGAUUUAAUGAUCUUUUUCUAAUUUUAAAGCACACCAGAUUGAAUUCUUGAAGCAUCACGACAAGUUUGAGCAAUUACAAGGGGUAUGGAUGGUGUAGAUUCCCUCUCGAACGAGACAACCAAGCGGGUGGAUGAAAACCACGAUGUUGUCUGAAAUCUUUCAUGCUGCUCCUUCCUCUAACUGGAAUAAAAUAAAACGAAAGAGAACUUGCUGGUGUACGUCUUGGAGCAAUGAUCCUAUUUUCGAGCGACAAAGCAAUUAGCCUUUCCACGUUCUUCUUUCCUCAAUAGAUCCAAUUUGCAAAGGACGAUGCAAUCAGCCUUUUCAGGAUAACGGUUUUGCUAAAACGCAUUGGUUAAUUUGUCCCAUAUUGCAUUAUUCGAGUAAUUAUAGAAUCCUGCUUGUAUCUUGUGGAGCCGGGCACAAAACACAUGCACUUGCUAUAACUAACUAAGGUCCACUGAAUUGUAGGCACAUGUGAUCGAUUUAUUGAAGUACUUUUGACCAAUUCGGGAAAGCGACAAAGGCGCACCUCGCCGAUCUCUUAUGGUCUCUCAAAUGUUUUCAACAAUGGCGAUUUAAUGAUCUUUUUCUAAUUUGAAAGGAAACCAGAUUGAAUUCUUGAAGCAUCACGACAAGUUUGAGCAACUACAAGGGGUAUGGAUGGUGUAGAUUCCCUCUCGAACGAGACAACCAAGCGGGUGGAGGAAAACCACGAUGGUGUCUGAAAUCUUUCAUGCGCCUCCUUCCUCUAACUGAAAUAAAAUAAAACGAAAGAGAACUUGCUGGUGUACGUCUUGGAGCAAUGAUCCUAUUUUCGAGCGACAAAGCAAUUAGCCUUUCCACGUUCUUCUUUCCUCAAUAGAUCCAAUUUGCAAAGGACGAUGCAAUCAGCCUUUUCAGGAUAACGGUUUUGCUAAAACGCAUUGGUUAAUUUGUCCCAUAUUGCAUUAUUCGAGUAAUUAUAGAAUCCUGCUUGUAUCUUGUGGAGCCGGGCACAAAACACAUGCACUUGCUAUAACUAACUAAGGUCCACUGAAUUGUAGGCACAUGUGAUCGAUUUAUUGAAGUACUUUUGACCAAUUCGGGAAAGCGACAAAGGCGCACCUCGCCGAUCUCUUAUGGUCUCUCAAAUGUUUUCAACAAUGGCGAUUUAAUGAUCUUUUUCUAAUUUGAAAGGAAACCAGAUUGAAUUCUUGAAGCAUCACGACAAGUUUGAGCAACUACAAGGGGUAUGGAUGGUGUAGAUUCCCUCUCGAACGAGACAACCAAGCGGGUGGAGGAAAACCACGAUUGUGUCUGAAAUCUUUCAUGUUGCUCCUUCCUCUAACUGGAAUAAAAUAAAACGAAAGAGAACGUGAUGGUGUACGUCUUGGAGCAUUGAUCCUAUUUUUGAGCGACAAAGCAAUUAUCUUUUCCACGUAACUUUGCUUCUAGAAUCAAUGCAAGAGACCGACAACCUCAGAAGCCCUUUACCAUGGUUUCUUCCAGUGUUUCAGUUGAUAACUCAUGAAGAGGGAAGGUCAAAGAGCAUGGAGAAUUGAUGGAAGCAUUCAAAGGGGAGUUACAAAGAAGAAAAAAAGUCAUUUCAACGAGCAGCUAGCGCUCAAGCUAGGGGUGGGCAAAAACCCGAGACCGACCCAAACCCUAGGUAUCCGACAGUUCAAAAACGCAAUGGGUCGGUUUGGGCGGGCCAUCAGGUUUUAAAAUGAAGAAAAUGGUUUGGAGUGGGUUGUAUCGGGCGGGUACGGGUGCAGAAAAUUUCUCUCGUUGAUACCCGAACCCGCCCAAGCACAUGUACAAAAAUAAUAAUUAAUUUUUUCCCUGCUACAUUGCUACGUAUUCUGCCCUUCCCUAUAAAGCCUAUUUUUAAGCAUAAUUGCUCUAUCUCACCUACCACCUGUUAUCAGCUAUCCUAUCUACUCAUCAUUAAUUACUCUCUAUUUCCUAAGCUUUUUGUUCGUUGGGAAGUGACUAGUGAACACCACUAAGUCACACUAUCAAACUUAUCUUUAAUUUUAAAAGUUAAAGCUUGAGAAAAGAGAAAAGUAACAACACACCUCUCUAGUUCCUUCCAAGAAAUUACAACCCAUUCUUAUUUCCCCUCCUGAACUGGUCUUUAACCUUUUCUCUUUUCUUUUCUUUUUUUCCCACCCUCUCUCUUCCAUGAGCAAUCAACGGUGCUGCAUGGGAGAGGAAGAUAAGCGAUGGUAGCCCACUAACACCACCAUCAGAGGGGCAACUCGAGUGGAGGAGCAACGGGUAGCUGGUUCGACAGGGUCUGUAGGCAAAACAAAAGAUGAAGGAAGGAAGAUGGGACUGAGGGCUCGGGAAGGGUUAUUUGUGGAUUUCUUUCUUCUUUGUCAAAAUAUUUCAAGAUUUUUUGAGCUAAGGAGUCAUUCAGUCCAUACCUGUAUUAAUCCACACAUCCAACCCGUCCAUCGACCCAACCCGCAACCGAUCAAACCGAAGCCUCAUUCGGACGGCAGCGGACCAGAAUAUUUGUCUGUUGGUUUUUAUCGGAUCUGGGUUUUUUAGCCCGAACCCGCCUGCACCCGACCUAUGCUCAGCCCUAGCUCAAGCGCUAGCGCCAGCAGUCCAGUAGCUUUGGAGUUGCCGAUUCUGGUGGGGCGCGCCCCAGGGCAGCGCUUGAGCGCCCUAGCUCGACCAUUUUGCCUAUAAAUAAGGUUUUUGUCAUUUUAUUCAGAACUUUUGAUCAUCUCCUUAUAAUUUUACCAAGUUUAGAAGCCGAGGAAGAGUUUUGGGGCUUGUGAGAGGCUUCCACCUUGUAAUUUCUCAGGUUCUAUUACAUUUCGUUGUAUGAUUUCCUAGCAAUGAGUGGCUAGUUUUACUUUUGCUUUGGGUUUUAAGUGAUUCCAUGAAACUUUAGUUGUAAAUUCCUAUCUCUAUGCAUGAGUUCUUGACUUAGCCUUGUAUUUCAAUUCUAUUUUACAUGAUUAGCUUGAGUGCACGCUUCCUAUA